rnacentral:rRNA from 1 species
UGGGGAAUAUUGCACAAUGGGGGAAACCCUGAUGCAGCGACGCCGCGUGAGUGAAGAAGUAUUUCGGUAUGUAAAGCUCUAUCAGCAGGAACGAGACAAGACGGUACCUGACUAAGAAGCCCCGGCUAACUACGUGCCAGCAGCCGCGGUAAUACGUAGGGGGCAAGCGUUAUCCGGAAUCACUGGGUGUAAAGGGAGCGUAGACGGCUGAGCAAGCCUGAAGUGAAAGGCGGGGGCCCAACCCCCGGACUGCUUUGGGAACUGUACGGCUGGAGUGCAGGAGAGGUAAGUGGAAUUCCUAGUGUAGCGGUGAAAUGCGUAGAUAUUAGGAGGAACACCAGUGGCGAAGGCGGCUUACUGGACUGUAACUGACGUUGAGGCUCGAAAGCGUGGGGAGCAAACAGG